GACGAACGCUGGCGGCAUGCCUAAUACAUGCAAGUCGAGCGAACAGAUGAAGUGCUUGCACUUCUGACGUUAGCGGCGAACGGGCGAGUAACACGUAAGGAAUCUACCUAUAAGCGGGGGAUAACAUUCGGAAACGGGUGCUAAUACCGCAUAAUAUCUUCUUCCGCAUGGAAGAAGAUUGAAAGACGGCUCUGCUGUCACUUAUAGAUGACCUUGCGGUGCAUUAGUUAGUUGGUGGGGUAAUGGCCUACCAAGACAAUGAUGCAUAGCCGACCUGAGAGGGUGAACGGCAACGUUGGGCCUGAGACACGGCCCAAACUCCUACGGGAGGCAGCAGUAGGGAAUCUUCCGCAAUGGGCGAAAGCCUGACGGAGCAAUGCCGCGUGAGUGAAGAAGGCCUUCGGGUCGUAAAACUCUGUUAUAAGAGAAGAACAAAUUGUAGAGUAACUGCUACAGUCUUGACGGUAUCUUAUCAGAAAGCCACAGCUAACUACGUGCCAGCCGCCGCCGUAA
rnacentral:rRNA from 1 species